rnacentral:misc_RNA from 1 species
AACCUUUGCUGUCUUGGGACGGAUCACCGCUGCAAGAGGGGAAGUUGCUACUGUGAUGAAUUCUGCCAUGUGGCACCAGACUGCCACCCAGACCACAGUGUCCUCUGCAACCCUGCUUCUCAGAUGACCAAGAUGGUGCUGCAGAUGGUGCUGAGGAUGGAGAACCCACCAAGCCCCGCUAGGAGCCACCUAGACUGGAUGCAGAGCAUGGUGAAAAUGGAGGUUUCCUCCUCCUGUGGCUGAGUGUGGCUUCCCCGGAAGACCUCACUGACCCCAGAGUGGCAGAAAGGCUGAUGCAGCAGCUCCACCGGGAACUCCACGCCCACGCGCCUCACUUCCAGGUCUCCUUACUGCGUGUCAGGAGAGGCUAACGGACAUCAGCUGCAGCCAGGCAUGUCCCGUAUGCCAAAAGAGGGUGCUGCCCCUAGCCUGGGCCCCCACCGACAGACUGCAGCUGCGUUACUGUGCUGAGAGGUACCCAGAAGGUUCCCAUGAAGGGCAGCAUGUCCAAGCCCCUAACCCCAGAUGUGGCAACAGGACCCUCGCUCACAUCCACCGGAGUGUAUGUAUGGGGAGGGGCUUCACCUGUUCCCAGAGGUGUCCUUGGACUCACCUUGGCACAUGUUCUGUGUUUCAGUAAAGAGAGACCUGAUCACCCAUCUGUGUGCUUCCAUCCUGCAUUAAAAUUCACUCAGUGUGGCCCA